rnacentral:rRNA from 1 species
GUCCACGUGAAGGGGAGCAAUCCCCCGGUAAGGUGGCGAACGGGUGAGUAAGACAUGGGAAUCUGCCCUGGAGAUGGGGAUAUCCUCCCGAAAGGGGGGCUAAUACCGAAUAUCGUCCGGGUUCCGGGAGGGAUCCGGGGAAAGGGAGGCCUCUGGCAACAUGCUUCCGCUCUGGGAGGAGCCCAUGGCCCAUCAGCUAGUUGGUAGGGUAACGGCCUACCAAGGCAAAGACGGGUAGCUGGUCUGAGAGGACGAUCAGCCACACUGGCACUGAGACACGGGCCAGACUCCUACGGGAGGCAGCAGUGAGGAAUUUUGCGCAAUGGGGGCAACCCUGACGCAGCAACGCCGCGUGUGGGAAGAAGGCUUUCGGGUUGUAAACCACUUUUGUAAGGGACGAAGUCCUGCCGGUCAAUACCCGGCGGGGAUGACGGUACCUUGCGAAUAAGCCACGGCUAACUCUGUGCCAGCAGCCGCGGUAAGACAGGGGUGGCAAGCGUUGUUCGGAGUGACUGGGCGUAAAGGGUCUGUAGGUGGUUUUUCAAGUCUUUGGUAAAAAGCCGUGGCUUAACCAUGGUGAGGCCAAGGAGACUGGGAGACUCG